AAAAAAACUGAAUUCUGGACUGCUCUCACGGUCAAUAGAGGCCCGCUUGAGUAUCCAGCCGAAGUGGCAAUCCAGCGUGAGGGCGAAGCUGCGCUGUGAUUGAUUGAUCUAAGCAUCCCACAGAUCGCAGAUCCAAACCGUCUAUCCCCGUGAGAUCCAACGGCAAGGAAACCUCCCCCUUUUUCUUGUGUUUCCUUCUGUCCAUCCACAAGACGCCCGCUUCUCUCCACCCGGAGAAAGUGGAUCUCGGUCGGCCUCUUCGAGAUCCUCCCCAUCAAUGGUCGCCGCCACAACACCAAGAAAAAGCUUGGCAGCCGGUGCCGUUGUUGUGGAUGGUGCCCAUCUUGGUUCAUGGAGCGAAUAGGUUUCUCGUGGGCGUGCAAAAGCGUGCUCGAGCGCCGGUGCCGUCGCUGCGGAUGGGACGACCGCGUUGACUACGAGCGUGCUCGAGAUCCCGGUUCAGACCGCCACGCUCAGGCGGCCGAGCCUUAGCGGUGCAUCAUGGACCGGCGGUGCUCUCGCACACCUGCGCCAGCCUCCGCGCCUCGGAGGAGGAGGUCGACGACGGAGGCGCCGUCAAGGGCGAACACUGGCUCGAGGGUGCUGCGAUGGGAUGCCUUCAAGCAGGUCUGCAAGCUCCAGCUGGCGACGCGCCUGGUGAAGUUCAUUCGCAUCGGACCAGCGGGAUCCUCGGCUGGCUGUGAGCCGCAUGUCCCACCAGGUCUCCCUCCCCCUGUUGAUUUUGAUUUUUCCCAUCCCUUUCGUUUCCGAUUUUCCAAGCCAUUUUUAGUGCUUCUCGAUAUGCAGGUAGUACGGGUUCCAUGGACUCUUUUCAUCGGUGGAGACAGAGUACCGGUCAGGAGCAUGGCUUGGUGCAAGAUGGAUGCAAAAAUGGUGUCUCCCUCUGAUGACUUCGGCGGGUACUGCUGGAUCCAUGUCCACAAAGGCAUGGCCUACGGCGAGCGCAGCCGGCGCUUGGCUGGAGAGUAGCUUAGUGUUCUCCAGGAAAUGUUUGUAAUUUUAAGUUUUUGGGGAUCUUUUUUGCUUCUGUACAGGCGUAUGUCCAUGUUUGUUUAUGUAACAUACAUUUUAUUUAAUGAAAUGAGCAUAUAUUUUUUGACAAAA